GUGACCGUUUGUAAUGAAUUGCCUUGGUCUUGGAGUGAUGGUGAUUGUUACGUUUGUUCGUGCCCUACAAUACCCAGCAAUACGAAGAGAUCCAGCAUCACGCGAAUGACUUCAAGAUAUUCAAAUUUUAGAACCUCAGUUAAAUUAAAAUUAGUAUUAUGUGAUGUGCUCUAGUUCAGUGACAUAGUUUAGUCCGCCAUUUUGUUACCAUGUCGGCCAUUUUGAGUGUCGUGCGGGUGGGGGUCAGUGACCUGGUGGUGCGAGGGCUUCUGCUGCUGGUGUUGGCUGUGUAUUCUUCUUAUGUUCCCAAUUUCCUGACACGAUUCCCGGAACUCCCCAAAAUUCCUGUCCCGCUCCAGAAUUUGU